GCUCCGCAGGACAAUAAAGGUUUUAGCUCCCUCCACCAGAUUACAUUUUACCUUGUGAAGACACCAAUACGCUGUGUUUGGGCUACUUUACAGGUGGGUUUGGGCUACUAUACAGGUUGGUUUGGGCUACUAUACAGGUGGGUUUGGGCUACUAUACAGGUGGGUUUAGGCUUGGGCUACUUUACAGGUGGGUUUGGUCUACUUUACAGGUGGGCUUGGGCUACUUUACAGGUGGGCUUGGGCUACUUUACAGGUGGGCUUGGGCUACUUUACAGGUGGGCUUGGGCUACUUUACAGGUGGGCUUGGGCUACUUUACAGGUGGGCUUGGUCUACUUUACUGGUGGGCUUGGUCUACUUUACAGGUGGGUUUGGGCUACUUUACAGGUGGGUUUAGGCUUGGGCUACUAUACAGGUGGGUUUGGGCUACUUUACAGGUGGGUUUGGGCUACUUUACAGGUGGGUUUGGGCUUGGGCUACUAUACAGGUGGGGUUGGGCUACUUUACAGGUGGGUUUGGGCUACUUUACAGGUGGGUUUAGGCUUGGGCUACUAUACAGGUGGGUUUGGGCUACUUUACAGGUGGGUUUGGGCUACUUUACAGGUGGGCUUAGUCUACUUUACAGGUGGGUUUGGGCUACUUUACAGGUGGGUUUAGGCUUGGGCUACUAUACAGGUGGGUUUGGUCUACUAUACAGGUGGGUUUGGGCUACUAUACAGGUGGGUUUGGGCUACUUUACAGGUGGGCUUGGGCUACUAUACAGGUGGGUUUGGGCUACUUUACAAGUGGGUUUGGGUUUGGGCUACUAUACAGGUGGGUUUGGGCUACUUUACAGGUGGGGUUGGGCUACUUUACAGGUGGGGUUGGGCUACUUUACAGGUGGGGUUGGGCUACUAUACAGGUGGGGUUGGGCUACUUUACAGGUGGGGUUGGGCUACUAUACAGGUGGGGUUGGGCUACUUUACAGGUGGGGUUGGGCUACUUUACAGGUGGGCUUGGUCUACUUUACAGGUGGGUUUAGGCUUGGGCUACUAUACAGGUGGGUUUGGGCUACUUUACAGGUGGGUUUGGGCUACUUUACAGGUGGGUUUGGUCUACUUUACAGGUGGGUUUGGGCUACUUUACAGGUGGGUUUGGGCUACUUUACAGGUGGGUUUGGGCUACUUUACAGGUGGGCUUGGGCUACUUUACAGGUGGGCUUGGGCUACUUUACUGGUGGGCUUGGUCUACUUUACAGGUGGGUUUGGGCUACUUUACAGGUGGGUUUAGGCUUGGGCUACUUUACAGGUGGGUUUGGGCUACUUUACAGGUGGGCUUAG
rnacentral:lncRNA from 1 species